CCCUUAGAUGUUCUGGGCUGCACGCGCGCGACAAUGACGUUUGCAACGAGAUACGAGACCGAAAGGUUAAGUUGAUCUAGCAAGCUGCGUCGUGAUAGGGACUGUCGAUUGCAAUUAUUCGACACGAACGAGGAAUUCCUAGUAAACGCAAGUCAUCAGCUUGCAUUGAUUACGUCCCUGCCCUUUGUACACACCGCCCGUCGCACCUACCGAUUGAAUGGUCCGGUGAAAUCUCGGGACGGCGGCUUGGUCGCUUGCGUCCGACUGCUGAAACUUGAUUAAACCAUAUCAUUUAGAGGAAGGUGAAGUCGUAACA
rnacentral:rRNA from 1 species